AGCAGUAGCCGCGGUAAUACGUAGGUCCCGAGCGUUGUCCGGAUUUAUUGGGCGUAAAGCGAGCGCAGGCGGUUAGAUAAGUCUGAAGUUAAAGGCUGUGGCUUAACCAUAGUACGCUUUGGAAACUGUUUAACUUGAGUGCAAGAGGGGAGAGUGGAAUUCCAUGUGUAGCGGUGAAAUGCGUAGAUAUAUGGAGGAACACCGGUGGCGAAAGCGGCUCUCUGGCUUGUAACUGACGCUGAGGCUCGAAAGCGUGGGGCGCAAACAGGAUUAGAUACCCCAGUAGUCCCUGUCUCUUAUACA
rnacentral:rRNA from 1 species